rnacentral:lncRNA from 1 species
CAAGAAUUAAUUGAUAAUUAAUUUUGUGGCUAAAAGAGAUUAAUUAAACUUAAGGGACUAGAACUGUAAUUAUAAGAUAAUUGCAUUUGGGCUAUGGAUUACCUUGGAAUAAUAGGUUGGACAAAUUCUAUGGGGAAACCCAUUAGAAAUCGUCCAAGGGAUAUUCUAAAAGGGUUCAUGGGCUGCUUUGGGCUUAAGCAGUCAAAUUAGGGUUUCCUAGUUGAAAACCCUAAUAGCCUAAAUGUAUAUAUAGUACCCUUAAACCCCAAAAACGAGUCUAAGAGUUCCACUAGGGUUUCUGGACGUUUUGGACAACCUCCUCUCUCCUUAUUCUUCAUCCUCUUUCUCUUGGUGUUUGUGAGCCAUUAGAGGAGUGACAAUUGUGACUCUAAGCUUUCUAAAGUCCUUACAAGGAAGAUUUGAGAUUGUUAUUGCUACAUAACAAUCAAAGGUAAUUCUCUAAACCCUAAUUUUAGUUUAUAAUAUGUUGGAUCUAACAUUGUAAGUCUUGGAUACAUUGCAUGUAUAAUAGAGAAACCUAGAUCCAAGCAUUAGGGUUUGCAUGAGCACAUAGGAUGUUCUUAUCGUAAAAUCCCAUCAGUGGUAUCAGACCCUUGAUUGGUUUCUAUUGUAUGUGAUGCUAUGUUGAAUUAUUAACUGAAAAUUGAAUUCUGGCCUUCUGUUCGAACUGACUCGGCGAGUCACUACAUGGACUCGGCGAGUCUGCCCUACUCGGCGAGUUCCAAUGUGUGACUUGACGAGUCGGAGCAUCAGACAUAGGGAAAUUCGGAUUUUGUUGCUGUUUUGCUUAAGGAUAAUUACCAUAUUCGUUUUAAACUUAUAAAAUACGAUUUUUAAUGUUUUUAAAAGAUUAUCCUUGCCAAAACACAAGAUAAUUACCAAUUGAUUAGAUAAUAACUUCCUUAUAUGAUUAAAGAUUGAUUAUUUGUAUUAAUUNGGCGAGUUCCAAUGUGUGACUCGGCGAGUCGGAGCGUCAGACAGAGGGCAUUUCGGAUUUUAUUGCUGUUUUGCUUAAGGAUAAUUACCGUAUUCGUAUUAAUUGGGUAACUUAUCUUGCAAGAAAUUGAAAUUAGGUCAAAUAUAGAUAAUGUCAAAAUUAAUUGUUUAAUUUCUAUUAUUUGUUAUUUGAUCCUUAUGUUGUGAAAAAGUUUCAUUUGUGCCCAUGUAAGUUUUAUGGUUUAAUUUUGAACUUAAAGGUUUUGUUUUGAAAUUUAAAUAGUUGAAACCUUAAUGUUUUGAAAUGUUUCAAAACUUGCCCUCAAUUUUUGGAAUUUAAAAGUUGAUUAAAAGUUUAAUUUAGAAAUGUUAAAUUCUAAAACCCUAGUAUUGUUUUGAAAAGUUCAAAUCACACCCUUAUGGUUUUAUUAAUUAAUUAAGGUGUAUAAUUAAAAGAGGUUUAAUAAAUCCAUAAAAGUUUUGGUUUACAAUUUAAUUGAAUUAAAAGUAUAAUUGUUAAAUUUGACCACCUAGUAUUUUAAAAGUGUAAAAUACACCCUAUACUAUAUAUAACAUUAAAAGUCUAACAUUAUAUAUAUGUAUGAGUAAAAGUCAGUCUUACCGUUAGUAGGCCUCAUUCACGAAGCUGGUCUAUAAGGGGUGUUUAAGGAAAUUGCCUAUAAAAUGGCGAUUGAAUGGGUAUCCACUCUUACCCACCGCACUCUUGACUAGUGGAGGGUCGUUAGCCGAACGGGUAGGAUAGGACAGAAACCUUCCAUUAUAAGUAUAAUGAAGUACAAAAGUAACUAAAUGCUUUUACAAAUUCCCAAUCUUAGUUACUUUAGGCAAAAGUGAAUUGAUGCAAUUCCAUGAAAUUACACUUUGUGCCCUUGCGAAGACGUUAGUGGAGCGUGUGUGGUUAACCGACACACUAAAUGGUUCUAAGCAAAGGUAGCAAAGGGUGACUCAAUGUUUGUCAUAGUUCGGUGGAGCGUGUGUGGUUAACCGGCACAUCGAAUAGGUGACUGUAACAUGUGGGGGCACCAUGUAAGUUUGCAUGGUUAUUCACACCCGCUUUGUGAUCCUCGGCAUCCCAGUCACAAACUAGAGGGGCAUAUCGAGAUUUAAACAUGCCAUUGAAAAGUUCAAUGAAUCUCAAAGGAUCUAGGAGUUUUCAUAGAUUUAAAACUUAAAUUUCUUUUUCGUUUUUCAUGGUGGAAAUUAGUGAAUCGUCAUUCACUUACCUUCAAAUAUUCUGCAACUAGAUUACGGCAUCCCUUUUCUAGGUUGUAGAGUAUUGUGUUGGGUCCUAGCCUUAAUAUCUCAUUUGGGUGAUUUAUUAAGGACUCAAUCAAUCAACUAACAUGAAUUUAAUUUUUCUGCCGUUUUGUAUAUGUGAAAGUAUGACAACUAUGGUCUUCCCAAAUCCCGUGGAACAAGCUUUUCACAUGAAGAUGAUAUUCCACGAUUCGAUCGAGGAACACAAGAUCAUGCUUCACUUCCUCCACCUCGUCCUAUUAUUCUCCCUAACCCACAAGUUCAAAAGAUUGAAAAGUUCAAACUCACUCAAGCCCUUUUGGCAAGUAAACAUGAAGAAGGAAAGUCACUGUGCACACACAUCCUAGAGAUGAAGUCACACAUUGAUAGGUUAAGAAUGUUGGGAUCUAUUGUCUGUGAGGAGCUAGCAGUUGACUGGGUUCCUUAGUCACUUCCAAACUCAUAUAGUGAGUUCGUAAGAGAGUACUAUAUGAUGAACCAUGACGUAACUCUCAUUGAUCUCACCUAUAUGCUUAUUGCUGCUGAAUCAGCAAUGAUUUGGCGCACUGGAAAAGCAAAGUUUAUUGGUGGAUCUGCCUUCCAGACUUCUGUGGAUAUAGGCAAUGAAAGGCAUGGCAUGAUCGAAGGGUUUGAUCAUAAGAGAAAGCCAAAGUCUGAAGUAGUUCCAUGCGUUGUUCGAAAAGAGUCAAUUUGCUUUUAUUGCCAAGAGAAGGGGCAUUGGAGACGAAGCUGUCCUAUUUACCUAAGAGAUCUAAGAGAUGGGAGAGUCAAAACGUAUGGCUCUGCUUUAGGUAAAAUCCAUUAACUAACUCUUUUAAGUUCCUAUUCUAGAUUCUUGAUACAUGAUGAUAUAAGAUUACAAUUGAUGUUUUGUAGGAUUGAAGAAGGGAAAGGAAACUUAAGGGAAGAAGUGAGCGGAAUCUAAUCGUGAAGAAAUGGAUUUCGAUCGCAUUACUUGAAGAUUAGAUUCUUGAGCUACUACUUAGAGUUAGAAUAGAUUGCUAAGAAAUAUGUAUUAACAUAGUUUUUCAAUGAAUUGCAUUGUAAGGACAAAUUUUUCCGUAAUAAAAUAGAUUUUGAUUUUAUAUUUAUCCUUGUAAUGGCGUGUAAGAAAAAUUGAUGUUUGAAUGUUUGUGUUAUUAGCAAUAAUGGAUUUGUUUGUUAAUUAUGUUCUUUGUGGAAAUGUCAAGAAUUUACCAAAUAGGGAAAGUUUCUCAUCGCCCAAGUUUCAAUUAGACAGAAACUUGGAAUCAUACAACUUGGUUGCAUGAUAAAUGAGAAAUUUCAUAUUUGGAAAUUAGACUAAUUCGUUGACAAAGUGUCAAGUGAAGGACUAGGAGAUCGAGUACACAAAGUUGUGUGUUGAUCAAGUCCACUACAAGAGUAACAAAGAUAUUCAUCGUGAUUUACUAAGGUUAAGUAAAUAUGAUUAUACUUUUGAGAUUAAGUGUAAUUCUCAGUUAAUUGAAAGAGUUUCAAUAAAUAACAGAACGAAUAAAGAAGAAUCAAGUAGGUAGAAAGAUAAAAGUUUCUCUACUCUAAGAAGAAGGGAAAGUACCUUUUAUUAUGUUUUAUGAUAGGUCUUAAUGAUUAAGAACCAUAUCUUAGUUGAUCCUCUAAGUGAGUCUUAGUGCAAUUGUAUGUCUGAGAAGAGGAAUCAAGAAUUGAAGAAAUGGUUAAAUCAAGAAGUCAAUCAUACUUCGUUCCAAAACCAAGUCUUAGAGUUAAGAUUGUGACAUUGAGUGACAAGUCUUAAGAAGGUUUAUAACAUUCAUCAAAUGUGGAAAGUUGUGAUGUCUUGGAUAAGACAAAGACCAACUAGGACCAAUUUUGUGAAGUGUUUUGUCUUGAUAAAAGCUACACUAACUCUUGAAUAUUUGUUUGUCGAGAAAUGUUUAUUGACAAGAGAAUCUUAUAUGUCAAGGAGUCAGUGGGAGUCUUAAUGGUCUUGAAAAGUUCAAGAACUAAUCAAGAAUAAACCUUAUCGAUCAUCACUAGCACACGACUUGAGGUUCACAACCUAUCGUGUUGACACUAUCUUGUUUCUGUGCCGUUCCAAUUGAGUUAAUUAUGCAUGUGAGUUCUAUGAGUUCUCAUUUGAACGCAUAAAAGGCAAGCACCUUGAUCAAUGAAAAGUACAUUGAUAGGAAAGGAUGAGCUGCUUAACUACUUGGAAGACAUGGUGGGCACUCGUGUUACCAUAAGGCAAGAAAUCAAGAUUGAGAAAGUUCGGUCCAUAUGAGUUUGGAUUUGUCGCAAACUUUGGUUUUGACAAAUUCGCAUGGAUAGGAACACAUACACCAUUAAAAUCUAAGUGUCAUAAGAUUCCCUCCUUCAUGAAAAUGACUGUGAGGAAAUGCUUUCACUAAGAGAGAUUUUAAGAAGAUAGUGAUUGUGAAAAUUGUAUUCUCGAAUUCGAUUAUGGUUACGGUAUCCCUUUCCAUGAUUCGAAUUGUGAGAUUUGGCAAUUAGUCUGAAUUGUUUAGACACACAUAUGAGCUAUCUAAGGCAAAGGUGUAUAAGUUUAAGAAGCUUAGAUAAAGGAUUAUCAAAGCAUUAGGUAUUAGAAAUAUGAACUUAAGAAAUUCAAUAGGUAUUGUUUUCUGGAAGUUAAGCUGUUUUCUGAAUACAUGUCAAAGCUAGUGGGAGCAUAAGUGUUAUGCUUAUAUGAUAAUAAUCAUCAUGAUAGUGGGAGCAUAAAUGUUGUGCUUGUAUGAUUAUUAAGGCAAGUAUUGCAAGUUAGCAAUAUUAAUUAUAGAAAACAAGAGUUAUACUUUGCAAAGUCGUAAGGGUUGAAAAGUUGUUUUGCUAUAAUUAAGGGAGAGAAUAUUAUGCUUCAUUUCAAAUCUAAAGGCUUAGGUUGUGGAAUGUUAAUAAAUUUAGUCAAGGAUACAUAGUGCGUUCUCAAAAUUUCGAUUAUGAUUAUGGCAUCCCUCUUCAUAAUUCGAAUUAUAAGAACGUGACACAUAAGAUAUUAUGGCAGAAGAUUGAUAAAGUAUCGUAUCUUUAUGUAAGACAUUAUGCAUCGUGUCCCAUACGCUUCGGGUAUAGGAUCGAUUGCAAAUGCUAUAAUAUUUGACCAUUCUAAAAUUUUCCAAAUGUCUAGCGCAUUUAGAGGGAAAAAGGACAAGAAUCGGUUUUGACUAAGAUAAUUAAACAACUAUCAAAGGACGAUCCAAAGUUCGCUGAGGAUUGGUCGCUUGUGAGUAGUUGGAAGUAUGGUAUUGGAUGGACCAUAUCGACAUUAUUAUGAAUAGAUAAGAUUCUAUUAAGAAUGAGUUGUCAUAUGGCAAAUAUGGAAAUGUUUCCAUAUUGGGAGUUGGAUAUUGAGAAUCUAUGUCUAGAUUAGAAACUUUUAUGCAAGAAGGAUGUUCAAAGGAAUGUACUUUGAGUGAGAGACAUCAUAUCUAUAGAAUUGUUUCUGAUAGAGAUUGGCCAAGUCUUGAUGAUUUUGAGCUAUGACUUUACGAAAGAAUCAUUGCAUAAAAUGUUAGAAUCUAGCAUAAGUAACAAGAAUUUGAUAUUCUUAUACUUAUGAUAAGGAUUGGGAGUUGUGAAAUGAGUAUGAUUGGAAAUGUGUUCAUUUGAUCUAUUUCACAAAGUAAGGACCGUAGGUAAACAUUGUGUGCAUGCUGAGAGCAUGGGACAAGUGUAGUAAUAAUUCAAGUAAGAAGUUGAUUACCCGAAACAACAAAUAAUGAGUAAUCAAUAUGGUGAUAAAUAAAAGGUGUUUUAUUUAUACUCAAAGGUUUGAGGCCAUAUGGGAUUAGUAUUAUUCUUGUGUUUCACUUUGCAUGUUUUGACUUCCUGAAUAAUUUAAUUGGUUCAGAACAAUCAAAUUAUUCGAACGGACCACAGUCGUUCAUAUGUUGGAAGUAGGUAUGAAUGAAGACUGUCGUGAAUUGGUGUGUGGAUUGUCUAAAGUGUAUUAGACAUAAGCAAAUGUUUGCUGCAACGUUCAUGAGUGCUUAUGAAUAUGAUUUGAGCAUUGGAUUAAACCCACGCUCACUUGGAUCACUUCAUGGAUUUUAUCACGAGUGAUUGGUGAGACGAUAAUAUCUUAUAUUCUUGAAACCGAGAUGUGUGAGUUGUAUCUUGCGAGUCGGUUACACAUUGAUAAUAUGUAAACGCACCAGUAACUUGGUGUCAUAAAACAUAUUGUUGUGUGUGAUUCGGUGAGUGAGUGCAAGCAAGCAUUGAAUCAAAGUUUAUCCGUUCCUUUUAUCCAAAGUAGGAUAAAAGCGAUAUCUUUGGGCCCCUCGAUGAUUUAGUGAUGACAAACGUAAAUGCUCGGCCGGGCUAGGGCUAAUUUGAUUUGUUCAAUUAGUCAGUCGUCAUAAAUCGGAAUUCGAGAAAUAGUACAAAGAGAAUGAUUUGAAAUCAUAUCUCAUAUGAUAUCUAGAAUGGAGGAAUAUAUGAUCCCUUAUCUAAAGGACACGCGUAUCUGAUAAGAUCAGAGUUGACAGCGGCUUUGGAAAGCUACGAUUGCAGAUCAGGAUCUGAAGUCAUACGCAGAAUAGUUAUUAGACUUAUCCAAGUGGGAGACUGUUGGAUUAGUGUCUAAGUCCAUAACUAUUUUGGUAUGUACUUGACCCGAUGGUGCAUGGUCCUUUUGGGUUGCCUUCACCAAAGCAACUUGAUAGGAUGAAUUAUGGAGAGAGAAGAUUAAUUAUGAUUUAUUAAUAUAUUAUGAGAAUAAUAUAUUAAAGGAGAAAUCAUAUUGUUUAAUUAAUAUUAGUCAAGAAUUAAUUGAUAAUUAAUUUUGUGGCUAAAAGAGAUUAAUUAAACUUAAGGGACUGGAACUAUAAUUAUAAGAUAAUUGCAUUUGGGCUAUGGAUUACCUUGGAAUAAUAGGUUGGACGAAUUCUAUGGGGAAACCCAUUAGAAAUCGUCCAAGGGAUAUUCUAAAAGGGUCCAUGGGCUGCUUAGGGCUUAAGCAGUCAAAUUAGGGUUUCCUAGUUGAAAACCCUAAUAGCCUACAUGU